rnacentral:rRNA from 1 species
UACGGAGGGUGCGAGCGUUGUCCGGAAUCACUGGGCGUAAAGGGCGCGUAGGUGGCGCGAGUAGUCAACGGUGAAAGCCCGGGGCUCAACCCCGGGUCGGCCGUCGAUACUCUCGUGCUUGAGCACUGUAGAGGCAGGUGGAAUUCCGGGUGUAGCGGUGGAAUGCGUAGAGAUCCGGAAGAACACCGGUGGCGAAGGCGGUCUGCUGGGGUGAGGCUGACGCUGAGGCGCGACAGCGUGGGGGAGCAAACAGG